UAGCGGCAGGCUUAACACAUGCAAGUCGAGGGGUAACAGAAGUAGCUUGCUACUUGCUGACGACCGGCGCACGGGUGCGUAACGCGUAUACAAUCUACCUUUUGCUGAGGAAUAGCCCAGAGAAAUUUGGAUUAAUGCCUCAUGGUAUAUAGUACUGGCAUCAUUACUAUAUUAAAGGUUACGGCAAAAGAUGAGUAUGCGCUCUAUUAGCUAGAUGGUGUGGUAACGGCACACCAUGGCAACGAUAGAUAGGGGCCCUGAGAGGGGGAUCCCCACACUGGUACUGAGACACGGACCAGACUCCUACGGGAGGCAGCAGUGAGGAAUAUUGGGCAAUGGAGGCAACUCUGACCCAGCCAUGCCGCGUGCAGGAAGACUGCCCUAUGGGUUGUAAACUGCUUUUAUACAGGAAGAAACAGCUCUUCGUGAAAGAGCCUUGACGGUACUGUAAGAAUAAGGAUCGGCUAACUCCGUG
rnacentral:rRNA from 1 species